GACGAACGCUGGCGGCGUGCUUAACACAUGCAAGUCGAACGUGAUUUUUGUGGAAAUUCUUUCGGGAAUGGAAAUGAAAUGAAAGUGGCGAACGGGUGAGUAACACGUGAGCAACCUACCUUACACAGGGGGAUAGCCGUUGGAAACGACGAUUAAUACCGCAUGAGACCACAGAAUCGCAUGAUAUAGGGGUCAAAGAUUUAUCGGUGUAAGAAGGGCUCGCGUCUGAUUAGCUAGUUGGAAGGGUAAAGGCCUACCAAGGCGACGAUCAGUAGCCGGUCUGAGAGGAUGAACGGCCACAUUGGAACUGAGACACGGUCCAAACUCCUACGGGAGGCAGCAGUGGGGAAUAUUGCACAAUGGGGGGAACCCUGAUGCAGCGACGCCGCGUGAGCGAAGAAGGUUUUCGAAUCGUAAAGCUCUGUCCUAUGAGAAGAUAAUGACGGUAUCAUAGGAGGAAGCCCCGGCUAAAUACGUGCCAGCAGCCGCGGUAAUACGUAUGGGGCGAGCGUUGUCCGGAAUUAUUGGGCGUAAAGGGUACGUAGGCGGUUUUUUCAAGUCAGGUGUGAAAGCGUGAGGCUUAACCUCAUUAAGCACUUGAAACUGGAAGACUUGAGUGAAGGAGAGGAAAGUGGAAUUCCUAGUGUAGCGGUGAAAUGCGUAGAUAUUAGGAGGAAUACCGGUGGCGAAG
rnacentral:rRNA from 1 species